ensembl:lncRNA
GGUGGGUUCCUGCCAGCAUUAGAGCCUGCCUUCUCUGCUACCAACAAGCCCGUGGCAGAGAGAAAACGGACCAGCAGCCCACGGAUGCCCAGAAACAGAAUGAUCACAGUCAUCAAGGACCGUAGCACUCCUGACAGAAAACCAGCCCAGGGAGGAAUGACCACGCCGCCUCUUGGAGUGGGUCAGGGGCAGUGCACAAGCUGGGGGAAGCCAAAGUGAGUGUCCCUGGAGCCUGAGAAGGAAGAGGAACUGGAAGGAUCUGGAUUGGCAAGAGGGAAGAGCACGAAGCCGUUACAUUUGAUAGACAUUUACCAACUAUUCAUGGAUAAAAGAGGAGACCACAGCACAGCAUAAGGCUGGAAAGAAAACUGAACAUCACCUAUGAAGUCUUUGUGAAAUAAAAUUCUUAUUGAUGUCAAGACAAGAAAAAUUUAAACAUAAAACCUCUUCCCUAACUUUGGCCUCCCCUCAUCACCCACUUUGCAUUGCAUACCUGCAUGAUGCAUCAACCAAACCUCCCCCAUCAGCAAGAGUACCUGCUCAGCCACAA